UAGGGAAUCUUCCACAAUGGACGAAAGUCUGAUGGAGCAACGCCGCGUGAGUGAAGAAGGGUUUCGGCUUGUAAAACUCUGUUGUUAAAGAAGAACAUAUCUGAGAGUAACUGUUCAGGUAUUGACGGUAUUUAACCAGAAAGCCACGGCUAACUACGUGCCAG
rnacentral:rRNA from 1 species